GCUUCAGGGCGGGGUGAGAUUCCCCACCGGCGGUAUAGCCCGCCUGCCUGCUUGUGCAGAGCUGAUCCGGUGAGAUUCCGGAGCCGACGGUAUAGUCCGGAUGAAAGAGU
rnacentral:ncRNA from 1 species